rnacentral:rRNA from 1 species
UGUGAUAGGGGGACUCCAAGUGCUUACUUACGUAAGCUUUUGUCUAGUUCAAAAAGCUAGAUGAAUAAGGGCUGGGAAAGACCCGUGCCAGCCGCCGCGGUAAUACGGGCAGCUCUAGUGGUGUUCACGCAUAUUGGGCUUAAAGCGUCUGUAGCCUGUUUGAUAAGUCUUUGGUGAAAGCUUGCAGCUUAACUGUGAGAGUUGCCAGGGAUACUGUCAGACUUGGAGCCGGAAUGGGUAGGAGGUAUUCUCGGGGUAGGAGUAAAAUCCUGUAAUCCCGUGAGGACCAACGGUGGCGAAGGCGUCCUACUGGGACGGGCUCGACGGUGAGAGACGAAAGCUAGGGGAGCGACCCGGAUUAGAUACCCGGUUAGUCCUAGCCGUAAAUGAUGUCAGCUUGGUGUGGCACAACUUACGUGGUUGUGCGGUGCCGUAGGGAAACCGUUAAGCUGACCGCCUGGGAAGUACGGUCGCAAGGCUGAAACUUAAAGGAAUUGGCGGGGGAGCAC